GGCAAACAAACACCUUGGCUGCAGGGGAAGCCAUCCAUUUCCUCAACUGGUCCAACUGGCAAAAUGUAUUAAUAAUUAUAGUUUGCAGUGGUUGUUAAAGCAGCUGGUGGAGGGAGAGCAGGUUGACCUGCCUUUUUCUUUGGGCUCCAAACAAAUGAAACACCUCUUGUUCACCGCCACAUCCUAGGCGCUGGUGCAAAGGCCUUCUCUGGAUCUUUAGAAGUCGACCUUGAACAUGGGUCCCCGCUGCCUCUGAAUGCUCAUAGAAAUCAACCCUGAAUAUUCACGGGAAGGAUGGAUGCGGAAUCUGAACCUCCAGUAUCAGUGGCCACCUGAUGAGAAGAGCCGACUCCCUGGAAAAUCCCUGAUGCUGGGAAAGAUUGAAAGCAAAAGGAGAAGAGGGCAGCAGAGGACGAGAUGGUUAGAUAGCAUUCAAUGAAUAUGAAUUUGAGCAAACUCCAAAAGAUAGUGAAGAACAGGGAAGCCUAACGUGUUGCAGUCCAUGGGGUAUCAGAGAAUCGGACAUGACUUAGUGACUGAACAUCAACAUACCCAUAAAUUCAUUGCUGAGGUCUCUUUUGUUUUGAUUUUUUUUUCAAUUUAUUUAUUUACUUAUUUUGGCUGCACUGGGUCUUCACUGCUGCCUGAGGGCUUUCUCUAGGUGCGGCAAGCAGGGGCCACUCUCUAGCUGUGGUACCCGGCCUUCUCACUGCGGCGGCUUCUCUUGUUAUGUUGCAUGGUCCCUAGAGCACAGGCUUGGUAGUUGUGGCGCACGGGCUUUGUUGCCCUCAGGCAUGUGGGAUCUUCCCAGAGCAGGGACUGAACCUGUGUCCCCUACAUUGGCAGGCGGAUUCUUAAUCACUGGACCACUAGGAAGUCCAAGGCCCCAUCUUUCAAUACUAUUAUAUGGGCAUCAGGACUUCAAAAUCUGGAUUGGCAGAGAUAACAACAUUCAGACCAUAGCAACUGGCAAAAAUAAUCACAGAGUGCAGAUUAGUGGCUGCCUAGGGUUAGGGGCAAGGUAAU
ensembl:lncRNA